rnacentral:rRNA from 1 species
CCUACGGGAGGCAGCAGUGGGGAAUAUUGGGCAAUGGGCGCAAGCCUGACCCAGCAACGCCGCGUGAAGGAAUAAAGCUUUCGGGUUGGAAACUUCUUGUCUUAGGGACGAAGCAAGUGACGGUACCUGAGGAAUAAGCCACGGCGAACUACGUUCCAGCAGCCGCGGUAAUACGUAGGUGGCAAGCGUUAUCCGGAUUUACUGGGGGUAAAGGGCGUGGCGGCGGGAAAGCAAGUCAGAUGUGAAAACCAUGGGCUCAACCUGUGGCCUGCAUUUGAAACUGUUUUUCUAGAGUACUGGAGGGGCAGACGGAAUUCCUGGUGUAGCGGUGAAAUGCGUAGAUAUUAGGAGGAACACCAGUGGCGAAGGCGGUCUGCUGGACAGCAACUGACGCUGAGGCGCGAAAGCGUGGGGAGCAAACAGGAUUAGAUACCCCGGUAGUC